GAGAGGUGGUGCACGGCCGUUGUCAGUUCGUACUGUGAAGCAUCCUGUUAAGUCAGGCAACGAGCGAGACCCACGUCCACAGUUGCCAGCAUACCCCUCCGGGGUGAUGGGUACACUGUGGAGACCGCCGCUGCUAAAGCGGAGGAAGGAGUGGGCAACGGUAGGUCAGUAUGCCCCGAAUCUCCCGGGCUACACGCGGGCUACAAUGGUUGGUACAAUGGGCAUCUACCCCGAAAGGGGAAGGAAAUCUCUUAAAGCCAAUCGUAGUUCGGAUUGAGGGCUGCAACUCGCCCUCAUGAAGCUGGAAUCCGUAGUAAUCGCGUUUCAACAGAACGCGGUGAAUACGUCCCUGCUCCUU
rnacentral:rRNA from 1 species